AUAAAAUGUGUAUUUACUACAUACAUUAAAACUGCAACACAAACAUUUGUUAGUGAAGCUAACACCUUAUUAAUCAUCCACAUAAUACAUGAAACAUAAAGCUGUUUCACUUUCCUCUCAGUUUACUGACAUCUUUGACAAUGUUUAAAUGUUCCUCAUCUCUUUAACUGUAACAUCAUCAUUAGGGCUGCAAUGACUAGUCGACUAGUUGACUAAGAGUUGACAAAAUUAGUCGACGGGUUGUUAGUGAUGUCAUCAUGUGUAUCCCACAGCAUGCAAUGCUACGCUCCACAAUGUUUCACCAUAGCCUAUUGUAGUAGUAGCUCAAAGUGACUUUUCCCAAAUCUUUGAUGCACUGACAAGUGACAACACAUGCACACUAGUGACCGGGAACAGAAUGGGAAGCAUCAGCAUGGAGGCGGCUGAAGUGAGCAUUUCGUAUGUGACGCAACUAAGAAAACUGUCACAUGCAAAAUAUGUAAGCUCGGGCUGUCAAAUGUAUAUUCAGACGUGGGAUUAAAAGUUUGCAUUCAAACUGUUACUACGUGUUCAAAUGUGAUAUAUGCAGGGCACAUCACAUGAAGUGACGGUCAGCAGCAGUGCAAACCGUGAAGAUAACUUGCGGCACAAUGCUGCUGCGCACUGCAGCUGUCCGCUUCCGUGUAGAAGCAAGUAACCAUCUCGUAGUGAGAUGUGUCGUAAAAAACACACAGUACUGGCCGCUUCUCUGUUCAAACUUAUUUUGGAAAAAAACUGACAGCCCUCAUGUAACUGAACCUCAUGUACCAUGGUCCCUCUUCAGCAAUGCACAGACAUUUAUAGAGGAAACACGUUUUUGGAUGAUUGGUAAAAUAAUUAGCUUUUUCUUUUUGUGCAGCUCAUAAUCUGACUAGCUGACUAGUAGUCAAUGACUUGAAAUAGUCAUUAGUUGCAGCCCUAAUCACUCUCAGUGUCAAAAAUGUGCUUCCCUUUUUGUUUCUCCACAUGGGCCCUUUUUGCAUUCUUGUCCCCUCAUUUCAAAUUUGCCUAACCCACUGAACUCUGUUCUGCUGCUGCUGUGGACUGGUAGGUUGUCUCCUGUGCUUUUGCUUACUCUUAAGACUCUAUUCUUGAGAGGAGUUGUCUUUUUACAUCCAGGCUGGAUACAAAGUUGUCACAAGAGUCAACUGUCAGAUGUCGCAUAUCUUCCUGAGACGUGAUCAGUUGUGCAAAACAAACCCCAUAUGGAGAGCUGCACUGCAUAAUCAAUCAUCCAUUUCUGGUUCCACAUCUCAAAUAAUUUCUGUCUUUUUAAUCAGCCAAUGCUCUCAAUAUACAAUAUUCAUGAUUGCUAACAUCAGUUGCUCUUGUGUGAAGUUUGCUCAGUCAUUCAUGUAGAUCCUUUCAAGCAUUUCUUUCAACCGCCCACCAUUGCCUGUUGGUCAGAAGUACUUAUUUCAACAACGUCCUGAUGAUUCUAAAUUGAUUAAAUAUCAUUUAAUGAAGAAGACAGCCCCUCGUAGCUAUUCAGGAUGAGUGAUGUACCUGUGACAUGUUGCUGUCUUGACUCCACGUUUGAUUCCACCAGGUUGACUCAGGAUUGUGACUCGAGUAACCUAAGACACAAUGGAUCAUGGAGACUGAGGAACAAUACAAAAAAGUCUAUCACUCUACUCUGUCCAUACACACUGCGGUGUGUGAUCAACUCAGUCAUUCCCUCUCUCACAAGUCUGGGCCGAUGCCUAAGUUCUAAACAGACCAACCUGUGUGUCAGGAAAAGUGUCCUUACACACAAUGAGAGGGACAGAACGAACACAAAAUGCUCAAACUACGCAAAACAGUACAGAGAGGUGCUUUUUGUCUAUGGGGAUAGGAGAGUUUCUCAAUAUUCUCCUAACUCUCCACUCUCGGUCAGUCGUUCAGCAGAAAAACGGAUCGAUAAAGAGUUGAAGCUCUCCGUUCCAAGUGACUCCUCGUAAAUGGGUACUUAAACUUUUUUUUUUUGUGGGGUGAGAUGGAAGAUGCCAAAAGGGCUUGGUGUUUAAAGUGAGAAAAUGAAAGCUGUGCUUCCUAAUGUCCUGUCUAAGUGGAUGUCUCUGUGUCUGAUGAAGCGUGAAGUGCUCUGUAACCCUAACAAAAUGACUAUCACUGUGUUCCUGUGGUUCUUAACUGGUCUUCUCCUCAGCACCACUUGCUCUACCUCCAUCCUGCUCAGUGCUCGAGUUAAACGCAUUCUCUUACUGAUUUCUCAUCAUGCUGUCAUGUAGAAACUUAAUUCUUUUAUAAUAGCCAAUAGUCACAGUGGAUGGCAUUUUGAUGCAGAAUAAACAAUCACUGUGUCCAAAUUAAAUGUGGUUUAUUCUGCCUACAAAUAAAUGUGAGCCACAGUUCUUGUGCUGAGUGCCGUGUGCCAAGGCUUUUCUCUGUAUUUCUGCUGCAUUCAGUUUAGUGUUUACCUUCUCAUCUAUCUUCUAUAGAGUGCAGUACCUGAAACAAUACAACAUGGAAAGACGAGGGAUGAAUCUUUUUGUAAAGGAAUUUUAGGUCAUGGUCACUGCACGAUAAAGUUUUCAAAUGUGCAUCUUUAUUAUUGGUAUGACUGACGAAACUUAGUCUAAUAAAUGUUGAAUGAGUUGUUGAAGAAAUUGGUUAAAUACCACAUUUUAUAAAGACCUGUGAGUUUAAUGUCAUUGUACCAUAUACCUUUUUUUUAUGUGACAGUAAAUUGAACAGUCUUCUGAAAGUGUGUUUUCCAAUGGAUCUUAUUUCCAACUCUGCAUUUUGUAAACAUUUGUUAAACCUUAUUGAUUAAGCGUCCCCUUUGAUCCAGUUCUCUGUUUUAUUAGUAAUCUAACUACAGCUGCAUGAAUCAUUAAUGUAUAAACUGGUGUUUGGUUAUCACUUGGCUGCAAAUGUUAAGAGAUGCAAAAUCAAUGCCUUAAUUCAACAUUUGCAUUUCUAAUAUUGGCAUUUUCCAAACCUUUUCUCUCUUGAGUCCAAGGCCACAGCCCCAAACAGAACAUGGGUGGAGAAAAGAGAAUCCGCUCACGUGUCGAAACAUUUGCAGAAAUUCACUUAUUGCGUGGUUAAAAGGGGAACAUUCAUUUAAAAGAGUGAUUUUUAAAAAAAAGCCUUGAUGCUUCCUUGUACCAUAACUGAAACUCAAGUCAUUUUUUGCCCAUCAGAGUCUGUGAACACAAAUAAACAACAUUUGUGUUUGAGUAACGUGAAAACAAACUUAUUGCCCUUAUGAAAAUGACCCUAAAAGGAGAAGCCCGAAAGAAGAUUAGGCUUUCAAUGAUUUGAUGCACGUUAUAUUUCCAUAUCAUGACUUCCCCCUUUUUAAAGGGUUUGGAGGGUGGCAAAGUGUUUUGGAUUGGCUUGUUUUUACAGACUGGAAGAUGCAAUUAUGGCUUCAAAACUGCUUGAAAAGUGAAUUCUGCACAGCUUUGCAAUAAAACAUUGAAGAGA